AUCUUCCCUCAUUUUCUGCAGAAAAGACAAUUGCCUUGGUCUGAAUCUUUGCUAGAUAGGAAUUAAAAUAAACCUAUCAAUUUGGGGGCUUGUCCGGGAUUCCCGAUAUACCCGCCGCUGACGGAAGGAGUAAGACGCGCUGAAAACUGCCGGCAGUCAGGUUCUUUAACCUGAAAGUCCCGGGGGGUAAAUUCCUCGCUGGGCCAGUGUCUUAGGUCAAAGCUCCCUCUGCCAACGGCGGAUUGACGGGACACAGAACCGAGACAGAGCAGGAAUCAGCCAAGUAAGUAAAUAAUGUGGUAUACGGGUGGUUUUCAGUCCCCCGUUUGAUGUAAGGUAACAAUAAAAAAGGGAAAGUAUAAAAACACACGUAGGGAAGGCAAUAAAUGUGAUACCUUAAAAAACAGUGGGAAAAGGCACGUGGUCGGCUUGUUGGGGAUGAUUGUCAAGAAUUCUCCACUCAAAUCAUUUAUUGAGUUGAGUCCAAGCGAGAAUUACCACAACAAGAACUUGGCCACCACCCCAUUUUUCUAUCCCCCGUUCUGUUGGUUAGAAAGAACGGGACGAACACACUGUAAAAUAUGGGUUUUUCACACGGGAAGGAGAAAAGUCUUAAAGGGGAUGAGAAGUUAAUGUGUCAGAUGGAGCCAGGAAACUUAAUGUACCUGACUAAAUGGAAAAAGAAAUACGGUGCAGAUGGCGUGUUGGAAGUAAAGUAAAGAAAAAACGUGGUGUUUUGGUUUUAAAAUAAGGGUUAAGUAAAAAACUGGUACCAGAAAACGGGAAGUUAUUGGUUGUUGUUAGAUUCUAACAUAAGUUUGAGAUGUCUCUUUUUAAAUGUGCACGGGUUUUUAAAACAGGUUCCUGAAGACGAGAGUUUAAAAAUUAAUUAAAUUAAAACAUGAAAAAUGUUAAUAAAACAUUGGAAAAUUCCUGAAGCUUCAGUAAAAUUUGAUAAAAUAAUGAGGACAGACUGAAAAUUGGUGACUGAAACUUUGACUGACUACAAACCUGGCCAGAUGUUUUGUGUUUUUGUAAUGUGCUUUGUGUUUUGUAUUGUGUUGCAAUUCAUGUUGGUGCGAAAGAGUGUGUGAUUGGAGAUAAAAUACCACUUGGUAUUUUAUGUCAUAUAAAUACAGAGCAAUUUCUCUAAGU